UAUUAUACCGAAAACAUCGGUUCUCGUCCGAUCACCGAAGUUAAGCAUCAUCGGACGCUGUCAAUACUUGGGAGGGUGACCACCUAGGAACACCGCAUGUCGUUG